rnacentral:ribozyme from 1 species
CCCUACCGUUGGUAUGUACCUUGUCGUGGUGGUAGGGCAACUAACCAGGCAUCAAUGUAUGCAGGAGCAUACAUUCUGGCACUUCGUAGAAGUAGGUGACAGUGAAACAAAGAUGUGGAAUGGUUAGGCCAAACAUGC